UACGAAGGGGGCUAGCGUUGUUCGGAAUCACUGGGCGUAAAGCGCACGUAGGCGGAUUUUUAAGUCAGGGGUGAAAUCCCGAGGCUCAACCUCGGAACUGCCUUUGAUACUGAGGAUCUGGAGUCCGGGAGAGGUGAGCGGAACUGCGAGUGUAGAGGUGAAAUUCGUAGAUAUCGGGAGGAACACCAGUGGCGAAGGCGGCGACCUGGGCCAAUAUUGACGCUGAGGUGCGAAAGCGUGGGGAGCAAACAGG
rnacentral:rRNA from 1 species